UAAUUAAUUAAGAUUAACUCUGUCUUAAGUUUUGUUUAGAUUGGCUAAUUACUGGAUGUUAUUAAAUAUAAGUUUUUGCGUGUUUGAAUAUUUGUCUAAAGGACAUUUAUUUUAUAUAUUUGUAGUUUUUAAUUUUGAUUAUUAUGCGUAAAUGCAGUUUCAGUCAAUUAUAUUUAGAAUUGUACAAGGUUGUGCCAGCAUACGCGGUUACACAUCUGAUUCAAGUCAAUUUUUUUGGUUUUUAUUUAUUUUUGUUAUUUGGGAAUUAAUUUUAUUUUAUUAGGUGAAAUUUUUAAUUUAAUUUAUAUUUUCUUGGUUUAAGAUUAUUAGAAGUUUAGGAUUUAAACUAGGAUUGGAUGCCCU
rnacentral:rRNA from 1 species